rnacentral:rRNA from 1 species
GACGAACGCUGGCGGUGUGCUUAACACAUGCAAGUCGUGCGACGAACCAGACUUCGGUCUGGGCAAAGCGGCGAACGGUGAGUAACACGUGGGUAAUCUGCCCCGAUGACUGGGACAACCCGAGGAAACUCGGGCUAAUACCGAAUGUGGUGCCUGGACUCAAGUCCGGUCACUAAAGGUAGCUUCGGCUUCCGCAUUGGGAGGGCCCGCGGCCCAUUAGCUUGUUGGUGGGUCAAGGCCUACCAAGGCAACGAUGGGUAGCUGGUCUGAGAGGACGAUCAGCCACACUGGGACUGAGACACGGCCCAGACUCCUACGGGAGGCAGCAGUGGGGAAUCUUGCGCAAUGCGCGAAAGCGUGACGCAGCAACACCGCGUGAGGGAAGACGGCCUUAAGGGUUGUAAACCUCUUUCAGAUGGGACGAAGGUGAUGCGGUGAAUAGCUGAUGUCAUUGACGGUACCGUCAGAAGAAGCUCCGGCUAACUACGUGCCAG